CCGCAGACAACAGGCACCUGCUGAGUGCCAGGCCCUGAGCACCGAGUGUGGGGUCGGCUCCCUCUGCCAGGGGCGUAGAGCCGCUCUCUGGAGCCAACACCAAAGCAGAAGAGCCCAGAAGCUAGAUCUGCCGUGACAGGUGCUCGGAUGCUGCCUAACUGGCCGCCUCAGCCCUCCCCAGCGUGGGUCCCGCGGACUCUGGCUGCCCGCCCCCCCCCCCAGAGGCCGGUGGGCUGUGCGUUCCCCAGGCGUUCCCAGGCCAGCUGCUGGCUCCGCUUCCCGCUUAGAGCCACCCUGGCCACGCGGACGCGGCCACCCAGGGUUCGCCGCGGGCCGGCGGCGGGGGCCAGCAGGAGGCAGCGGGGGCAGGCAGAGGGCAGGAGCGGGGCACGCGGGACGGACGGACGGACGGACGCUGCCACAGGACUCAGGAUCACCGGCAUCUUCCCGCCUUCGGGCCGUCCCGGCCCCUCCCGGGCGGGCAGCGGGGCCAAUUCCCACAGUGGGCUUGGGUAGGAAGGAGCCGGGCGGGCUGCCCCGCCGAGAGGCGCAGCCCCCGCCCGCCCUAUCCCCUCGAGCUCCGCCCUGCUCUCGACUCUCCGGACUUGGACAUGGCUGGAGAGCCCGGGCCGGGCCCUGCGCACCCGGGCCUCAAGCGGCCUCAGGGCACUGCCAGCCCCUGUACGAGUGAUUAUGACCUGGACCAUAAGCUGUACAGGGAAAAUGUCCCCUACAGUAGGGUGUAUGAAUACCAAAGGAUCCCUCCACUCAUCAACCGCGUGCCUGUCAGGAUCCGGAGGACCCAGGUGGGCAUGGGGGUCAAAAGCAGCUUCCGUCUUCACACGGGCCCCAGGAAGAGCCACCUGCCCCGGGAGCAAAUAAAGCUCCCGACUGAGGAGCUGCACUCCAUCAGGGGGGAGCUGAGUCAGAUCAAAGCCCAAGUGGACCGUCUAUUGGAGAAUCUGGAGCACAUGGGCCAGCAGAGGGACCAGCUUCCAACUGGGGGCCCGGGACACACUCCCAGGUCAGAGGACAGUGAAGAAAACAGAGGUCCAGAACUCCAGCAGGAGCCCCAGGGCCAGAAGGCCCAUCCAGAAGCAGACAGCUCUGAGGACAGCACAGACCCAAAGGAGGCAGUGAAGAAUCCUGCAUCGGACCAGGAGGGCAGCCAGUAGAAUGGUGGAACCCCUCUGGGCUCCUUCCUGGAUGGCUCCCUUCCUUGCCUCGUGUGGGUUUUUGAAGGCCUCCUGGAGGUGCCUGUGCAGCCCGAAGCCACCCUUCUGGAAGGAGUGCAGUGAAGUGGGGGCCUGGCUCAGCCAAACUAGCCAUGAAGCUUCUCCGUAAUGGUGGCUUUUGGAGGUCACGUUUUCCGAUGAUACGGGCUGAGGGUGGCCUGCAGCUGCCUAGCAUAAGCCUCCCAUCCUCAUGAAGCUGAGGCCGUCUUGCAAGGGGCCCCAGGUCCCCCUGGGUACACAUCAGCCCCCAGUGACCACAGGUACCGUAGUGGCUGCUCCCCACUCCGAAGGGCCCUGCCAGUUCUGAGUAGGCAGCCAGCACAGUUCCCUCCAGCCACAGUGGCAUACCGGAAACCCUCAUGUUCCUACGGUCCCCCUUCCAGUCUGCACCUGGGCUUUCAGCUCCUCAGUGUGCCCCACAUAAUCCCCUUUGGUUCCAGACUCCCCAUCCACCCUGUAAAGCCAUCCUUCAGAAUAGGGACAUCAUUUUUAUGUUCUGCUCCUGUCUAGUCUCUUGCUAGUGUGAUACUAUGUGUUUCAGAUCUGCUCUGGAAAUAGUAUUGUAUCAAAAGGGAGAAAAUGGGGAUCCCUGGGUGGCGCAGCGGUUUGGCGCCUGCCUUUGGCCCAGGGCGCGAUCCCGGAGACCCGGGAUCGAAUCCCACAUCGGGUUCCCGGUGCAUGGAGCCUGCUUCUCCCUCUGCCUGUGUCUCUGCCUCUCUCUCUCUCUCUGUGACUAUCAUAAAUAAAUAAAAAUUAAAAAAAAAAAAAAAAAAAAAA
rnacentral:lncRNA from 12 species